rnacentral:rRNA from 1 species
UACGUAGGGGGCAAGCGUUGUCCGGAAUCAUUGGGCGUAAAGAGCGUGUAGGCGGCCCGGUAAGUCCGCUGUGAAAGUCGGGGGCUCAACCCUCGAAUGCCGGUGGAUACUGUCGGGCUAGAGUGCGGAAGAGGCGAGUGGAAUUCCUGGUGUAGCGGUGAAAUGCGCAGAUAUCAGGAGGAACACCAAUUGCGAAGGCAGCUCGCUGGGCCGAUACUGACGCUGAGGAGCGAAAGCGUGGGGAGCGAACAGG